AGCGUAGACGGAUGGACAAGUCUGAUGUGAAAGGCUGGGGCUCAACCCCGGGACUGCAUUGGAAACUGCCCGUCUUGAGUGCCGGAGAGGUAAGCGGAAUUCCUAGUGUAGCGGUGAAAUGCGUAGAUAUUAGGAGGAACACCAGUGGCGAAGGCGGCUUACUGGACGGUAACUGACGUUGAGGCUCGAAAGCGUGGGAGCAAACA
rnacentral:rRNA from 1 species